GACGAACGCUGGCGGCGUGCUUAACACAUGCGAGUCGAACGGAAAGGCCCUGCUUGCAGGGUACUCGAGUGGCGAACGGGUGAGUAACACGUGGGUGAUCUGCCCUGCACUUCGGGAUAAGCCUGGGAAACUGGGUCUAAUUCCGGAUAGGAGCCAUUUUUAGUGUGAUGGUUGGAAAGUUUUUUCGGUGUAGGAUGAGCUCGCGGCCUAUCAGCUUGUUGGUGGGGUAAUGGCCUACCAAGGCGGCGACGGGUAGCCGGCCUGAGAGGGUGGACGGCCACAUUGGGACUGAGAUACGGCCCAGACUCCUACGGGAGGCAGCAGUGGGGAAUAUUGCACAAUGGGCGCAAGCCUGAUGCAGCGACGCCGCGUGGGGGAUGACGGCCUUCGGGUUGUAAACUCCUUUCGCUAGGGACGAAGCUUUUUGUGACGGUACCUAGAUAAGAAGCACCGGCUAACUACGUG
rnacentral:rRNA from 1 species